AAGACUGUGGCUCAAAGCUAGUUUGUAGACCUCUACAACUGUCUGGGCUGAAUGUCUGUAUGAGGCAGAAAGAGAUGACCUUUACUUGAUGAUCAUUCCCAACAAGGAGAAAAUGGAAGCUGCUGCCCAACAGGAAGAUACAGAAACAUCAGAACAACGAGCCCCUGCAGCCUGAUAGCUUGGAGCUCUGGUGUAAAGGAGGUUCUGCUUUACACCUCUUCAGACCGAGAGAAGCAGAGCUGCACUCAGUAUCAGCGGGUUUUUCCACUACCGCUCUAAAAUCUUCUGGAGUGCUAAAAGGCAGAGAAGAAUCUACGUCUGAUGAUUUGGAGCUCAGAAAGGAGGUGCUCCAGCCUUCAUAAGGUCUUCAGCCUCACCCCGUGGACAUCCAGGCUGCGUACUGUGAAGUUCUGUCUGUCUUUACAUCCUGUCUGCAGCCAUUACAGAGUCCUGGAGUCCUGUAAGGACUGGGAUUUGAUCAUCCAGCUCCGAUCAGAAUCUGUCCAGAUGGAUGGAUUCCAAGGGACAGCUCAUGGCUUGGAAAGAUAGGGCAUAUAAGAUAAAAUGACAAACAGCGAUGCUCUUGAGAAGGCAAAUGAGGAGCUUCUUUAUUUUAUGGUGUCAUGAAAAAAGGGUAGUGGUGGAUACCAAGAAACUAAACUAAACACCUGGAGCUGGCCUCUGCUGACAGCAAGCUCCUGAGCCCUGCAGUGUCUGGAUAUCAUCAGUUUAACAAUUUCUAAGGUUAGACACAACCAAGCUCUCAAGAAUUCUUAACGCUUCUUAUCUUCAGCUAAUCGCCAUAGAUCAUGGAACUUAAAAGCCUCACAAAGACACGUGUCAGAAGUCUGAUUUUAAGGAUCCACAAGUCUUCCUGGCCGAACUGUUGCCUCCAUGUGAGGAAUGAUCCCAUGACUGAACCUGUUCCACCUGCUCUGUCCUGAGGAGGGAAGAGGAGCCCUGUUCUGUCUGAUGGGAGUCUCCCCUGAAAUGUGAAACGUCUGGAAGGAGAAAAGGGCAAGGAGAAAACUGGGUGGGAAACCAUCAUUUGCACAGUGUGUGAAAGGUGAAGAGCUGAGGGGAGAGGAACGGUCUGGAAAUGUGAAGGAAAAAAAAAAAGAAAAACACAUAAAGAAGACAGCAGGAAGAUGGGAGAGGAGCAGUAAUGAGUUUAAUAAGAUGAGAAGGUGGAAGAGGAAGGCUGUUAUCUCUGCAGUUGUGCAGGACAGUGUUGGUUGCACAGAGUGGCCGUGAGGAAGGAGUUCAUUUACAGGAAAAGAGCUCGCUGAGCUAAGGGCAGCCAGGAGGACUCAGAGCAACGGGAAGCAAGGAAAGCAGUUCAUAGAAUCAUAGAGCUGGAAGGGACCCUUAAAGGCCAUCUGGUCCAACCCCCUGCAAUAAGCAGGGACACCCACAGCUCCAACAGGUGCUCAGAGCCCCAUCCAGCCUGACCUGGGGUGUCUGCAGGGACGGGACAACCCCCAGCUCUCUGGGCAACCUGUGCCAGUGCUGCACUACCCUUACCAUAAAAAAUGUUUUCCUUAUAU
ensembl:lncRNA